rnacentral:rRNA from 1 species
CAGCGGCCCUAGUGGUGAUCGUUAUUAUUGGGCCUAAAGCGUCCGUAGCCGGUUCGGUAAAUCUCUGGGUAAAUCGUUGGGCUUAACUCAACGAAUUCUGGGGAGACUGCCGAACUUGGGACCGGGAGAGGUCGGAGGUACUCCAGGGGUAGGGGUGAAAUCCUGUAAUCCUUGGGGGACCACCGAUGGCGAAAGCGUCCGACCAGAACGGGUCCGACGGUAAGGGACGAAGCCCUGGGUCGCGAACCGGAUUAGAUACCCGAGUAGUCC